CUUUGUUUCUUCAAUGUUUUGUUUGUUGCUCUGGUUCUGACAGCAGGAAGAGGAACAGUAGCAGAAACCGACGUAGCAAAGGGAGUAGUUUGCAUCAGCCAUUGCUUUAAAGAUUGCCAUGAAGAUUGUUUAAAAAGGGGGUUUAAGGAGAGUUUCUGUUUGCAAGAAGGAGUUGAUUACUCCUGUUGUUGUAAAUGAUUAAUGUAUGAUAUACCUAUGCUUAUUUCAUAAAACCUUAAUAAAC
rnacentral:sRNA from 1 species